CAUAGCGACUAUCGUGGCAUAUCAAUAAGCGGAGGAAAAGAAACUAACAAGGAUUCCCUUAGUAACGGCGAGUGAAGCGGGAAGAGCUCAAAUUUGAAAUCUUCAAGGUUCUACCUUGACGAAUUGUAGUUUAUAGAAGUGUUUUCUGUUAGUAGAGUGGCAAAAGUUCUUUGGAAUAGGACAUCAUAGAGGGUGAGAAUCCCGUAUUUGACCGUUAUCUUUCCUAGCUUUGUGAUACACUUUCAAAGAGUCGGAUUGUUUGGGAAUGCAGUCCAAAAUGGGUGGUAAAUUUCAUCUAAAGCUAAAUAUUGGCGAGAGACCGAUAGCGAACAAGUACCGUGAGGGAAAGAUGAAAAGAACUUUGAAAAGAGAGUUAAACAGUACGUGAAAUUGUCAAAAGGGAAGCGUUUGACACCAGUGUUGUUUAGUUGAAAAUCAAUUCAAUAAUUUUUGAUUUUGAGUAGUAUUGACUUCAUCAGCUUGCUGCUUUCUUUUCGGAAAUUAUUAAGUGCACUUUUCAGUUAACAAGUCAACAUCAAUUUCUUUUGUUGUAAAAGGGUAAGAGGAAGGUGGCUUACGCUUCGGCGUAAGUGUUUAUAGCCUUUUACCUCUGCAAUCGGAGAGAUUGAGGACAGCAGCGUAGACUCUUCGGGGGUUAGAUACACUUGUGCUAAGCUAUAGCCUUGUAUAGACAACUUGUUGACUAUGCUCAGUCAUGUAGCUUACUCGCUUGUGCUAUUUUACCUACGCUUAGGAUGUUGAUAUGCAUGACUGAUAU
rnacentral:rRNA from 1 species